UACGGAGGGUGCAAGCGUUAUCCGGAUUCACUGGGUUUAAAGGGUGCGUAGGUGGAAUGGUAAGUCAGUGGUGAAAUCUCCAAGCUUAACUUGGAAACUGCCGUUGAUACUAUCAUUCUUGAAUAUCGUGGAGGUAAGCGGAAUAUGUCGUGUAGCGGUGAAAUGCUUAGAUAUGACAAAGAACACCGAUUGCGAAGGCAGCUUGCUACACGAUCAUUGACACUGAGGCACGAAAGCGUGGGGAUCAAACAGG
rnacentral:rRNA from 1 species